AACGAACGCUGGCGGCAUGCCUAACACAUGCAAGUCGAACGAGACCUUCGGGUCUAGUGGCGCACGGGUGCGUAACGCGUGGGAACCUGCCCUUAGGUUCGGAAUAACUCCCCGAAAGGGGUGCUAAUACCGGAUAAUUUCUUCGGACCAAAGAUUUAUCGCCUUUGGAUGGGCCCGCGUUGGAUUAGCUAGUUGGUAGGGUAAAAGCCUACCAAGGCGACGAUCCAUAGAUGGUCUGAGAGGAUGAUCAGCCACACUGGGACUGAGACACGGCCCAGACUGCUACGGGAGGCAGCAGUGGGGAAUAUUGGACAAUGGGCGAAAGCCUGAUCCAGCAAUGCCGCGUGAGUGAUGAAGGCCUUAGGGUUGUAAAGCUCUUUUACCCGGGAUGAUAAUGACAGUACCGGGAGAAUAAGCUCCGGCUAACUCCGUG
rnacentral:rRNA from 1 species